GCAGUAGCCGCGGGAAUACGGAGGAUCCAAGCGUUAUCCGGAAUCAUUGGGUUUAAAGGGUCCGUAGGCGGUCUUGUAAGUCAGUGGUGAAAGCCCAUCGCUCAACGGUGGAACGGCCAUUGAUACUGCAGGACUUGAAUUAUUGGGAAGUAACUAGAAUAUGUAGUGUAGCGGUGAAAUGCUUAGAGAUUACAUGGAAUACCAAUUGCGAAGGCAGGUUACUACCAAUUGAUUGACGCUGAUGGACGAAAGCGUGGGUAGCGAACAGGAUUAGAUACCCGCGUAGUCCCUGUCUCUUAUAC
rnacentral:rRNA from 1 species